rnacentral:sRNA from 1 species
UCUCUCUCUCUCUCUCUCUCUCUCUCUCUCUCUCUGUGUGUGUGUGUGUGUGUGUGUGUGUGUGUGUGGUUUGCUUUGUAACUCGGUUGGCAUGAUUCCCAGUCAUGAACAUUGCAGAUGACAGCAUCAUGUUGCAAUACGGGAGGAUUAGACAAGCCUGCAGGAGUGAGGGUUUGCUGCUGAGUGAGGGUUUAAUCCCACAAGACUUCCUGAGCUCUCAAUGCCCACUUCCCAGGCCUUGUCUGGAAGAAGCACUUCUGCGGUGUAGCCGACUUUCUUGGUGUGCAGGAGGCUGUAGGUGUUGUCAAAGCGCAGGACAUCUGCAAGGACAGAGAGGUGACAGAUAGCAUAAGGACAGCCGCUGUGAGGUUGGGAACAGGCUGACCAGGCCUGUGGGUAGGACGUGUGCAUCAGCCACUGCCCUGUCCUGGCCCACUGUUUGUGACCACCUCCUGGGAGUGUAGUGACCACAGCAAGGGUGUGGCCCCUUCUAGAUCUCCAACAUUGCAGCAGCACCACCCAGCUCCCUGAAUCCCUCCUCGGAGCGGCCUCUGAAGAAAGGUUGCCAGCCCCAUUGCUGUGGCUUGUUUGGGUAAGUGCUCCUGGAAGAGUUGUGUGUCAAAGGCUGGGUCCCAGGGUAGCACUGUCAGAAGGUAGUGGGGACAUCAGGAGGGGGACUCAGGGGUCUCCUAUGCAGCCUAGACUUUCCCUGAGCUUCUGAUCCUCUUGACUCAGUUUCCUCCAGUGCUGGGAUUAUAGGCGUGUGCCAGCACACUUGGCCUCUCUCCCUUUCCCUCUUGCUUCCUGGCCUGUGACGUAGGUGUUUUCGCUCUGGGUGUUCUUGUCAUGCUGUGCCAACCCUGCCAGAGCCCCAAAGCAGUAAGGUCACUGGACCUUGGACAAGCAUCUCCAGAACUGUGUGGUGUGAUCAAAGACCCUGAAGACUGCAACCCUGGAGUCCCUACACCCUCCCUGGAAGUUGGACGUAGAUGGAACCCAGAAAGACCAGAC